GAAACAAGAAGAAUCAAGUAAAAGCUUCUAACUUAUUACUUAAGCGGUUUAACUCCGUUUUUGUUUCU
rnacentral:tRNA from 1 species